UCCCUGAUGGUUCAGUGGUUAGGACUCAGUGCUUUCCCUGCUGUGACCCAAGUUCAAUCCUUGGUCAGGGAA